rnacentral:lncRNA from 13 species
UUCUGUUCAACAUAUACGUGGAGAAAAUAUUUCAAUUGCUACUAAAAGAUCAAAGAUCAGAUAUAAAAGUAAAUGGAAUCCGUAUUAACAACCUGCGCUAUGCAGAUGACACAGCGAUACUGGCUGAGAACAUCCAAGAUUUACAAGCAAUAUUGAACACCGUCAAUGUAGCAGGGAAAGAAUAUGGCCUCAUCAGCAUCAAUUGAGAUAACGAUGGAGAGAUCAAGACAAGAAUAGCAGUGGCCAAGAAUACCUUUACUAAGUUCAAUACAAUAGAAGCCUACUACUGGGAUCUAGAUACAACCUCCUCAAAAUCAUUCUCACCGGAAAGAUCGAGGGCACAAACAGAGGACAAGGGCGCAAACAACACUCAUGACUCCAUGCAACAUCGGGAAUUGGUGUGACAUCUCAAAGGCUGCCACUUUAUUCAAACGUACAGAAAAAGGCACGCUAAACAUACGCUACGCUAAGCGUAUGGCACUAUAAGAAGAUAUAAUUCUAAAUAUAUAAUAUAG